CCCGAGCCCAUCUCACCUUGGUCUUCUCCCAUGGAUUUGAUUGUGUGCAUGGAUGAGGAAAGAGUCAUUGCAAGAGGUGUUGGUGGAGACGGAGGUUGAGUGGACGAUCGACAUACACGGCGUCAUCUAUAACUGCCUCUAUGGCUUCCUCGGCCUCCAUGUCAGCCUCCCUGCUUCACUACCGCAAAAGGGUUUGCAGCGUUGUGUGGUGAUGGCCCUGCCCCUGGCCAAUAUCGAUGCUCAUAGGAGUGAUUUUUGGCUAUGGAGGCGUAGCUUCGGAUGGUCUACAACAGUGUCUGGUUUCUCUGGUGGCUCUGAUUAUGUCACGUCAUGUUGGUUGGCAUACAUUUAUUUCUGUAUUUGGCACUUUUGGUUGGCUGAUGUUGUUAUGUUGUCCACGGAAACACAAUACUUACGUUGGCGUCUAUGAUAGACUUUUGCUGUUCUACUGCUUGCACCCUGUUCGUUUAGAAGAUGAAGGGGAUGGAUGCAAACUUAUGUAUGCAAUGCAGGAUGAUCAUGGUAGCUUAUGUAAUUGUUGCUGGUCUUCUGUACGAACGGUUUGCUUCGAUAUUUUCGUGUUAUUUUCUCCCCUGAUGCACUACUGAAUGCUUCCUCUAUAUGCACAAAUGACCUGGUCUAAUUAUUGUGAUCC